rnacentral:rRNA from 1 species
UACAGAGGUCUCAAGCGUUGUUCGGAUUCAUUGGGCGUAAAGGGUGUGUAGGUGGCGCCGUAAGUCGGGUGUGAAAUUUCGGAGCUUAACUCCGAAACUGCAUUCGAUACUGCGGUGCUUGAGGACUGGAGAGGAGACUGGAAUUCAUGGUGUAGCAGUGAAAUGCGUAGAGAUCAUGAGGAAGACCAGUGGCGAAGGCGGGUCUCUGGACAGUUCCUGACACUGAGACACGAAGGCCAGGGGAGCAAACGGGAUUAGAACCAGUACCGU